rnacentral:rRNA from 1 species
AAAUAGGUAGGGGAGCGUUCUCUUGUCGGGUGAAGUUUUCACGGAAGUGAUGAUGGACGAAUGAGAAGCGAGAAUGUAGGUUUGAGUAACGAAAACAUUGGUGAGAAUCCAAUGCCCCGAAAACCUAAGGGUUCCUCCACUAGGUUCGUCCAUGGGGGGUGAGUCAGGACCUAAGGCAAGUUCGAUAAUUCGAAGUAGUCGAUGGAAAACAGGUUAAUAUUCCUGUACUAAUUUUAUUGGGAACCAAGUGACGAAGGAGACUAAACAGAAACUGCUACUGGAUUUCAGUGGAAGCAUUUAGGUGUUGAGAGCUAGAAGAAAAACUAUGCUUGAGCUAAGGUGCAAUCCCUCUAUUAUAGUAAUGUGUACUUUCGAGUAUAUUUCCACUAUAGUGGAGUCUGUGAUGUCAAACUUCCAAGAAAAGCUUGAACACCUUAACAAUUUAAUUACCUGUACCUGAAACCGACACAGGUAGGUUGGUAGAGAAUACCAAGGGGCGCGAGAGAACUCUCUCUAAGGAACUCGGCAAACUGGCCCCGUAACUUCGGAAGAAGGGGCGCCCUUUUAAAUUUAACGAUAAAAAAGGGUCGCAGUGACCAGGCUCAAGCAACUGUUUAUCAAAAACACAGGUCUCCGCAAAGUCGUAAGACGAUAUAUGGGGGCUGACACCUGCCCAGUGCCGGAAGGUUAAGGAAGUUGGUUAUUAAGUAAUUAAGAAGCUGACGACCGAAGCCCCGGUGAACGGCGGCCGUAACUAUAACGGUCCUAAGGUAGCGAAAUUCAUUGCCAAGUAAGUUUUGGCCUGCACGAAAGGUGUAAUGAUUUGAGCGCUGUCUCGGAGAGAGACUCGGUGAAAUAGACUUGUCCCGUGAAGAUGCGGACUACCUACACUUGGACAGAAAGACCCUAUGAAGCUUGACUGUAUCUUGGAAUUGGGUUCGGGCUUUUCUUGCGCAGCCUAGGUGGGAGGCUUUGAGGGUUUCCUUCCGGGGAAAUCGGAGCCAUCAGUGAGAGACCACUCUGGAAGAGCUAGAAUCCUAAUGGUGAUCUUUGAAUCAAGACACUUGACAGUUUCAGGUGGGCAGUUUAUCUGGGGCGGAUGCCUCCUAAAGCGUAACGGAGGCGUGCAAAGGUUCUCUCAGUCUGGACGGAAAUCAGACAGCGAGUGUAAAGGCAAAAGAGAGCUUGACUGUAAGACCAACAAGUCGAGCAGGGGCGAAAGCCGGCCUUAGUGAUCCGACGGUGCCGUGUGGAAGGGCCGUCGCUCAACGGAUAAAAGUUACUCUAGGGAUAACAGGCUGAUCUUCCCCAAGAGUCCAUAUCGACGGGAAGGUUUGGCACCUCGAUGUCGGCUUGUCACAUCCUGGAGCGGCAGUACGUUCCAAGGGUUGGGCUGUUCGCCCAUUAAAGUGGUACAUGAGCUGGGUUCAAAACGUCGUGAGACAGUUUGGUCCAUAUCCGGUGUAGGCGUUAGAGCAUUGAGAGGAGCCUUCAGUAGUACGAGAGGAUUCUGAAAGGUAAGCCAAUAGUGUAUCGGUUAUUUUUCCAAAAGUAAACGCCGAGUAGCCACGCUUAUAGGGAUAACUGCUGAAAGCAUCUAAGUAGGAAACCCACCUCAAGAUGAGUGCUCUCAUCAGGUCGCGGCAAGACAAGCCGUUAUAUAGGCAUUAGGUGUACAAUCAGUAAUGAUUUUAGCCGAGAUGUACUAAAGACCGAUUGAUUUUGAC